GAAAUGCGAUAAGUAAUGUGAAUUGCAGAAUUCAGUGAAUCAUCGAAUCUUUGAACGCACCUUGCGCUCCUUGGUAUUCCGAGGAGCAUGCCUGUUUGAGUGUCAUGGAAUUCUCAACUCUAUUUGCUUUUGUGAAUAGAGCUUGGACUUGGAGGUUUAUUGCCGGUACCUGUGAUCGGCUCCUCUUGAAUGCAUUAGCUCGAACCUUUUGUGGAUCAGCUUAUCGGUGUGAUAAAAUGUCUACGCCGUUACUGUGAAGCAUAUUAUUCGGCUUCCAAUCGUCCUUCACGGGACAAUAACUUUGACCUUUGACCUCAAAUCAGGUAGGAUUACCCGGCUGAACUUAA
rnacentral:rRNA from 1 species